rnacentral:rRNA from 1 species
UACGAAGGGGGCUAGCGUUGCUCGGAAUCAUUGGGCGUAAAGGGCGCGUAGGUGGUUCUGUAUGUCUACCGUGAAAGCAUACAGCUCAACUGUAUUUUGUCGGUAGAAACUGCAGGACUUGAGGCUGGGAGGGGCUGGUGGAAUUCCCUGUGUAGCGGUGAAAUGCGUAGAGAUGGGGGAGAACACUCGUGGCGAAGGCGGCCAGCUAGACCAGUUCUGACACUGAGGCGCGACAGCGUGGGGAGCAAACAGG